CCAAUAGCGUAUAUUAAAGUUGUUGCAGUUAAAAAGCUCGUAGUUGAAUUUCGGGAUCAAUGGGUUGGUCAUGCCCUCGGUAUGUACUGAUUUCAUUGGUUCUCACCUUCUAAGGAACCAUGAUGUCAUUUAUUUGAUGUUGUGGGAAAUUAGGACUGUUACCUUGAAAAAAUUAGAGUGUUUAAAGCAGGCUAACGCUUGAAUACAUUAGCAUGGAAUAAUGAAAUAGGACAUCCGAUUCUAUUUUGUUGGUUUCUAGGAUCGAUGUAAUGAUUAAUAGGGAUAGUUGGGGGCAUUAGUAUUAAAUUGUCAGAGGUGAAAUUCUUGGAUUUAUUGAAGACUAACUACUGCGAAAGCAUUUGCCAAGGAUGUUUUCAUUAAUCAAGAACGAAAGUUAGGGGAUCGAAGACGAUCAGAUACCGUCGUAGUCUUAACCAUAAACUAUGCCGACUAGGGAUCGGAUGAUGCUUAUUUUUUAAUGACUCAUUCGGCACCUUAC
rnacentral:rRNA from 1 species